AGGGGCUUGCUACAAAUGAGAUAGGGAUCAAAAAGAAAAACCGACUAACGCACCAAAGGGAGCGAUGGAGGGUUGUGAGUUGAGAGGGGAAAAGCUACUGGAGCGACCCUCACCAGCUGAAGAACGCACCAAAUCAAUCCAAAGCUGAUGCGCCGACACCAACUUGAAGCUAUAUGCAUCAAGAUCGGGAAAAGCUGGGGAGUGGCAAUUGGUUCCCAAUGCAUUUCCUAAUACGUGCAGUGGAAAGUCGAAUUUUAGCGAAGGACUAAUCUUCAACAAGGAAUAGAAGAGAUUGGCCAAAUCAUCAUCGACCACUCCCCUGAAAUCAUCGGCAUCAAUGUUAAUCACCAGUUUGUCGUUGUCAUCAUCUUCGAUCCAUCAUUACCAUCUUUGCAUCAUUUCCUCCAGCAUCCACUGAGAACCCUUGAAUUCAGUGUUCAAAGUAUUGGCAUCGCUGCAAGUUUUGUUGGCGAGCAAUUCUGAAACAAUUUUGAUAUCGUCAACGCCUGAAAAUGUGGAUAAACAUU